GUGUAUGAAAAGAGGAGAGAUUGUUGGCAUCUCCCCUGACAGGGACGGGAACAGCUUUCGAGCUAACCUGCUACCCCACAUACUGUUAAAGCUACCCACCCUUGUGGUAGAUCAAAAUAUACCCAAUUUUU